UUAUACGUUGCUUAAUACGGCACACCCCGACUAAUUAAAAAGGUCUAAUUAGUUAAAUUAGACUAAGGGAAUGUGUGCUAGGUUAAUAUUCAAUCUACUCCUAACAAUUAAUGAACCUGAACUAGGCGGACCCAAGCUACUAGGUAUGGCGGGCUCAGUAUUGGUCCAAGGUGAUAAGAACAAAAAUAGGCCCAAAGGAGGCCACUUCAGUAGACUGCUUCUCAUAUGCCCAAAUUAAGAUCAAUCCCUAUUAAGAAUUGCGACAACAUAUAAACACAGCGCCAAACAUGACCAAUAAUGGUAGAUAUGACCUUACUCAUUGGCUAUAGUCAAUUAUCACAAGAAACCUGAACUUGAAACUCCCCAUUUAAUAUACCAAACUUUAUACAAGCAGAAUACAAACUUCAUGCAGGUUCAACGACUAAUCUUAACCUAUCAUAAAAUGGUUCAACAUCUUUUACAUACAAACUAUCCUUAAGUGAUAUUAGCACUUAUUAGAGUUUAAACCAAAAUACCUUCUUUUAGACAGAGCGGAUGGGCGCUUGUUUUAAAACGAAACUAGGUCGGGAAGAAAGUGUCUGAGGUCGGGUUGGAAGACAGGCGCCAUCCUAUGAGGCAGAUUCGUUCCCCCAAAGUGGAUGAUCGAUCGGAGAGAAGGAGUUUGUACAUACCAAAAUACAAAGUUAAUAUAUAAUUCAUAACUUAGCAUAGUCUAUAGACACCAUGAUCCCUUAGUAGCAAGACCAUUACACCCAACAUCUUUGAACCAAAAAAUCAGCCCAUGACAGCUUAGGGCUAAAAAUCCAACCCUAAGAUGAGAUACAACUGUAAGAACAUGAAUGAUCAUAAUAAACCAUAAAAAUACUAAGUUAAUACAGAAAUUUCCAAAAGAUACAUCUAAUAUUUAGCAAAAGGAAACAGGUAUUCAACUUGAACUCUCCAAUAGAUUACAUAGCUUAAAACUUGCAUUUCACACAUUCAUAGAUGUCUAAGAAGUACCUGAAUACAACAAAAACAACCAGAAAACAGCUUGUGGUCAGGAGGAAGCAAACUGUAGCAGAUCAGUAACAUUGCGAAGAACUCAGUCCAUGUUUGGAACCCAAAAAUAGCAAAACAGUGAAAGAUCUUUUGAAAGAAAAUCAACCAAUUGACGAAAGGAACCGCACCCCUAGACCCUUUUUUUACGUUCUCUGAUCCUGAGGCUCUCUCAAUGUGUGUGUAUUUGGUGUUCUAGGUGAAUAAAGUAAAGUUGGAAGAUAUUUUAGCCAUUUCUAGCUCCAUGUGUUCUAUCUUCUCUUGAAAAUUCAGAAAAUGGGACCUUUAUAGAUGGGUUUAAGGGAAACAGUAGUUAGUUUCCAAACUAACCAUUUACCCAUUCACCAAAUUCUCUCUAUUCACUUCAGACCCCAAUUUAAAAUCUGUUUUACAAACCAAUCCCUUUCCUUACUUUCCUGGCAGCUUACUUAGGCAGUUACAAAAGAUUCCCUUCAUUAAAAUCUUCCAAAUACCUUUCAAGAAGCUGCUAUUUACCUUCAGAGAAACUCAACUUAUGGGUCAACUUAUACCAACACCCUACCCAACCCAUGGGCCUGUAUGCCAUAGCGCAAGCUGAAUUUUCAAACCCCGAACUUAAUUGAAACUUUUAAACAAACAAACUACUAAAUUUUUCAUAAGAAAAAGAUUUCAAUAGAGAUGCUCGGGAAAUAGUAAUUUAAAGUAAUUAAAUCAACUAAUUAAUCGAAUUACCUAGAUAUUGAUAUGCUAAUACCCAUUUCAUUAAACGCCAAAAUAAACCCAAAUCGAAAAGGAGGAAGACUGAGAUCCUAAUCAUCCAAAAUAAAAGACUUUAAAACAUUAAAAUAAGAAUGAAAAGAGAAGAAAUAGAAUGAUACGAGGACGAGAACAAAACGAAUGACGAAGAAGAAGAGAAAAGAAUAGAAAUACCUAAAUUGUCACACAGACAAGGCUUGGCAAACCUCAGGCGACUUUGCUUUGACCCAAAAUUAACAUCAGUCACAUGUUCUCAUUGAGAAUAUAUGAUUAACACUGAUUUCGGCCCUAAUCAUAACUCAAAGACUUGGGGAGAUUUUCUUUUUCUUCUUCUUCUUCUUUUAGAUAUGAAACUAACCCGAUUUGGUGAAGAUUUGGGGGAGAAAUGGUGGUAGAUUAGGACUCAGGGAUGAAUAGUGGCUGUGUGGUUAUAUUUUGGUGGUUUUUUGAGCUCUGCCGUCGGCCGGAGAUGGUGAAGAUAUUCAGGGCGGCGUGUCUAGGGUUAGAGAUGAGAGGGAUUGAGGAGAUGAGGUGAAGGGAUACGAGGUUCUCUAAAAAUAUUUGGACAACUUUAAACAAAAAUAGAGAAUUAUUUUGGGCCAUUGGAUGAAAUGAGAUGAAAGGCCAGGAUCUGUUAAAUCUCCUUGAACUCAAAAUAACGUAAUAUUGACUCAAUACUGCAUCAUUUUGGUUGUGACAUUGCCCGAAAUAAAUGAAUCGGUAAGGGUCAAA
rnacentral:lncRNA from 1 species